UUAAUUAUAGUUAUGUUAACCAUCUAUCUAAUUGGGUUUAUCAUCACAUCAGAGCAUUAUCGAUGAGUUCGCAGAUACCGAAGCAGGAACAAUGUAAAUCCAAAUCCUAAACGUCGUAGCAUCUUCAGCUUUGGUGUAUGCAUGCCAUUACAUUCCAAUUACUUCCCGACAAAUACAUUUGCUCCGACCACUUUUGAUGUGCGCUUUCAGUCUUUACGUACAUCCCCAUGUCUACGUCUUUCUUUUCAACCCCCGCUCCAUCUUCUAGCUAGAGUGUCUCG
rnacentral:lncRNA from 1 species